GUUAUAUGGUCAAGUGAAUAAGCGCACACGGGGGAUGCCUAGGCGACGACAGGCGAUGAAGGACGUAGUAGCUUGCGAAAAGCCUCGGGGAGCUAGCAAACGAGCGUUAAUCCGAGGAUCUCCGAAUGGGGCAACCCGGCCGCUGCGAGGCGGUCAUCCGUUACUGAAUCCAUAGGUAGCGGAAGCGAACCCGGGGAAGUGAAACAUCUCAGUACCCGGAGGAAAAGAAAUCAACCGAGAUUCCGCUAGUAGUGGCGAGCGAACGCGGAGCAGCCCGGUCACUGUAUCGUCAUGGGGUAUAGGCUAACGGUCUGGAAAGGCCGGCCAUAGGAGGUGACAGCCCUGUAGCCGAAAUGCCCGAUGAAGUUGGUGACGAAGAGUAGGGCGGGACACGAGAAAUCCUGUCUGAAUAUGGGGGGACCAUCCUCCAAGGCUAAAUACUCGUUGUCGACCGAUAGUGCACCAGUACCGUGAGGGAAAGGUGAAAAGAACCCCGCAAGGGGAGUGAAAUAGACUCUGAAACCGUGUGCGUACAAGCAGUGGGAGCCCCUUUGGGGGUGACUGCGUACCUUUUGUAUAAUGGGUCAGCGACUUACUGUCAGUGGCGAGGUUAACCGUUGAGGGGAGCCGUAGCGAAAGCGAGUCUUAAUAGGGCGCUUAGUCGCUGGUAGUAGACCCGAAACCGGGCGAUCUAUCCAUGGCCAGGCUGAAGGUCGGGUAACACCGGCUGGAGGGCCGAACCCACGUCUGUUGAAAAAGACGGGGAUGAGCUGUGGAUCGGAGUGAAAGGCUAAUCAAGCCCGGAGAUAGCUGGUUCUCCCCGAAAGCUAUUGAGGUAGCGCCUUGCGUAUCACUGCCAGGGGUAGAGCACUGUUUCGGCUAGGGGGCCAUCCCGGCUUACCAACCCGAGGCAAACUCCGAAUACUGGCAAGUGCAGCGCAGGAGACAGACGGCGGGUGCUAACGUCCGUCGUCAAGAGGGAAACAACCCAGACCGCCAGCUAAGGUCCCGAAAUGAUGGCUCAGUGGGAAACGAAGUGGGAAGGCAUAGACAGCCAGGAGGUUGGCUUAGAAGCAGCCAUCCUUUAAAGAAAGCGUAAUAGCUCACUGGUCAAGUCGGCCUGCGCGGAAGAUUUAACGGGGCUUAAGCCAUCUACCGAAGCUGCGGAUUCCCCGUAAGGGGAGUGGUAGGGGAGCGUUCGGUAUGCCGGUGAAGGUUCGUCGUGAGGCGGGCUGGAGGUAUCCGAAGUGCGAAUGCUGACAUGAGUAACGAUAAAGCGGGUGUAAAGCCCGCUCGCCGAAAGCCCAAGGGUUCCUGCGCAACGUUCAUCGGCGCAGGGUGAGUCGGCCCCUAAGGCGAGGCCGAAAGGCGUAGUUGAUGGGAGAUCGGUUAAUAUUCCGAUACUGGAGAUAACUGCGAGGGGGGGACGAAGGAGGCUAGGCCAGCCGGCGGUUGGAAGUGCCGGUUUAAGCGUGUAGGUAUGCUGCAUAGGUAAAUCCGUGUGGCUAAGCUGAGACGCGACGACGAGGCUCCUCGGAGCCGAAGUGGUUGAUGCCCAACUUCCAAGAAAAGCCUCUAAGCAUCAGGUUAUCACCAACCGUACCCCAAACCGACACAGGUGGGCGAGGUGAGAAGCCUCAGGCGUUUGAGAUAACUCGGGUGAAGGAACUCGGCAAAAUAGUACCGUAACUUCGGGAUAAGGUACGCCCUGGUGUGUGACAACUCUUGCGGUUGAAGCAGACCGGGGUCGCAGUGACCAGGUGGCUGCGACUGUUUACUAAAAACACAGCACUCUGCUAACGCGUAAGCGGACGUAUAGGGUGUGACGCCUGCCCGGUGCCGGAAGGUUAAGUGAUGGAGUCAGCGCAAGCGAAGCUCUUGAUCGAAGCCCCGGUAAACGGCGGCCGUAACUAUAACGGUCCUAAGGUAGCGAAAUUCCUUGUCGGGUAAGUUCCGACCUGCACGAAUGGCGUAACGAUGGCCACACUGUCUCCACCCGAGACUCAGUGAAAUUGAAAUCGCUGUGAAGAUGCAGCGUACCCGCGGCAAGACGGAAAGACCCCGUGAACCUUUACUAUAGCUUUGCACUGGACUCCGAGUCGGCUUGUGUAGGAUAGGUGGGAGGCUGUGAAGCCGGAACGCUAGUUUCGGUGGAGCCAUCCUUGAAAUACCACCCUGGCUUACUGGGGGUUCUAACCUGGGCCCGUUAUCCGGGUCGGGGACCGUGCAUGGUGGGUAGUUUGACUGGGGCGGUCUCCUCCCAAAGUGUAACGGAGGAGUGCGAAGGUACCCUCAGCGCGGUCGGAAAUCGCGCACUGAGUGCAAAGGCAAAAGGGUGCCUGACUGCGAGACUGACACGUCGAGCAGGGUCGAAAGACGGUCUUAGUGAUCCGGUGGUGCUGGAUGGAAAGGCCAUCGCUCAACGGAUAAAAGGUACUCCGGGGAUAACAGGCUGAUACCGCCCAAGAGUCCAUAUCGACGGCGGUGUUUGGCACCUCGAUGUCGGCUCAUCACAUCCUGGGGCUGUAGUCGGUCCCAAGGGUAUGGCUGUUCGCCAUUUAAAGUGGUACGCGAGCUGGGUUUAGAACGUCGUGAGACAGUUCGGUCCCUAUCUGCCGUGGGCGUUGGACGGUUGUGGGGAGCUGCGCCUAGUACGAGAGGACCGGCGUGGACGGACCGCUGGUGGACCGGUUGUAUCGCCAGAUGCAUAGCCGGGUAGCUAUGUCCGGACGGGAUAACCGCUGAAAGCAUCUAAGCGGGAAGCCCACCCCAAGAUGAGCCGUCCCGCGUCGUUAAGACGCCUCAAGGUCCGUCGUAGACCACGACGUCGAUAGGCGGGAUGUGGACGCGCAGUAAUGUGUGAAGCUAACCCGUACUAAUUGACCGUGCGGCUUGACCAUAUAACACCUAAGCAGUU
rnacentral:rRNA from 1 species